AUUGAACGCUGGCGGCAUGCCUUACACAUGCAAGUCGAACGGCAGCACGGGAGCAAUCCUGGUGGCGAGUGGCGAACGGGUGAGUAAUAUAUCGGAACGUGCCCAGUCGUGGGGGAUAACGUAGCGAAAGCUACGCUAAUACCGCAUACGAUCUAUGGAUGAAAGCGGGGGAUCGCAAGACCUCGCGCGAUUGGAGCGGCCGAUAUCAGAUUAGGUAGUUGGUGGGGUAAAGGCUCACCAAGCCGACGAUCUGUAGCUGGUCUGAGAGGACGACCAGCCACACUGGGACUGAGACACGGCCCAGACUCCUACGGGAGGCAGCAGUGGGGAAUUUUGGACAAUGGGCGCAAGCCUGAUCCAGCAAUGCCGCGUGCAGGAUGAAGGCCUUCGGGUUGUAAACUGCUCUUGUACGGAGCGAAAAGGCUCUCUCUAAUACAGGGGGCUCAUGACGGUACCGUAAGAAUAAGAACCGGCUAACUACGUGCCAGCCGCCGCUGUAAGAC
rnacentral:rRNA from 1 species